AUUGAACGCUGGCGGCAUGCCUAACACAUGCAAGUCGAACGGCAGCACAGCCCGCAAGGGUGGGUGGCGAGUGGCGGACGGGUGAGGAAUACAUGGGAAUCUACCCUGUCGUGGGGGAUAACGUAGGGAAACUUACGCUAAUACCGCAUACGACCGAGAGGUGAAAGCGGCGGACCGCAAGGCGUCGCGCGGCUGGAUGAGCCCAUGUCGGAUUAGCUAGUUGGCGGGGUAAAGGCCCACCAAGGCGACGAUCCGUAGCUGGUCUGAGAGGAUGAUCAGCCACACUGGAGCUGAGACACGGGCCAGACUCCUACGGGAGGCAGCAGUGGGGAAUAUUGGACAAUGGGCGCAAGCCUGAUCCAGCAAUGCCGCGUGGGUGAAGAAGGCCUUCGGGUUGUAAAGCCCUUUUGUACGGGAAGAAAUCCUUUCGGUUAAUACCCGGAGGGGAUGACGGUACCGUAAGAAUAAGCACCGGCUAACUUCGUGCCAGCCGCCGCGGUAACAC
rnacentral:rRNA from 1 species